rnacentral:rRNA from 1 species
AACGCUAGCUACAGGCUUAACACAUGCAAGUCGAGGGGUAACGAGAGGAAAGCUUGCUUUCCUUGUCGACGACCGGCGCACGGGUGAGUAACGCGUAUCCAACCUGCCCCCAACUAGGGAAUAACCUUGCGAAAGUAAGACUAAUACCCUAUAAUUUCCUCAGAUGUCAUCUGACGAGGAAUAAAGAUUUAUCGGUUGUGGAUGGGGAUGCGUCUGAUUAGCUUGUUGGCGGGGUAACGGCCCACCAAGGCAACGAUCAGUAGGGGUUCUGAGAGGAAGGUCCCCCACAUUGGAACUGAGACACGGUCCAAACUCCUACGGGAGGCAGCAGUGAGGAAUAUUGGUCAAUGGACGAGAGUCUGAACCAGCCAAGUAGCGUGCAGGAAGACGGCCCUAUGGGUUGUAAACUGCUUUUAUAAGGGAAUAAAGUGAGUCUCGUGAGACUUUUUGCAUGUACCUUAUGAAUAAGGACCGGCUAAUUCCGUGCCAGCAGCCGCGGUAAUACGGAAGGUCCGGGCGUUAUCCGGAUUUAUUGGGUUUAAAGGGAGCGUAGGCCGGAGAUUAAGCGUGUUGUGAAAUGUAGACGCUCAACGUCUGCACUGCAGCGCGAACUGGUUUCCUUGAGUACGCACAAAGUGGGCGGAAUUCGUGGUGUAGCGGUGAAAUGCUUAGAUAUCACGAAGAACUCCGAUUG